UGAUGUUAGGUGCUUGCACUUGAAAAAUUUAGCAUUGAGACGAGUGGGGAACUGGUGAGUAACACGUGGGUAACCUGCCCUUGAAGUAGGGGAUAACACUUGGAAACAGGUGCUAAUACCGUAUAACAACCAAAACCACCUGGUUUUGGUUUAAAAGACGGCUUCGGCUGUCACUUUAGGAUGGACCCGCGGCGCAUUAGCUUGUUGGUAAGGUAACGGCUUACCAAGGCGAUGAUACGUAGCCGACCUGAGAGGGUAAUCGGCCACAUUGGGACUGAGACACGGCCCAAACUCCUACGGGAGGCAGCAGUAGGGAAUCUUCCACAAUGGACGAAAGUCUGAUGGAGCAACGCCGCGUGAGUGAUGAAGGGUUUCGGCUCGUAAAACUCUGUUGUUGGAGAAGAACAGGUGUCAGAGUAACUGUUGACAUCUUGACGGUAUCCAACCAGAAAGCCACGGCUAACUACGUGCCAGCAGCCGCGGUAAUACGUAGGUGGCAAGCGUUGUCCGGAUUUAUUGGGCGUAAAGCGAGCGCAGGCGGUUUUUUAGGUCUGAUGUGAAAGCCUUCGGCUUAACCGGAGAAGUGCAUCGGAAACCGGGAGACUUGAGUGCAGAAGAGGACAGUGGAACUCCAUGUGUAGCGGUGAAAUGCGUAGAUAUAUGGAAGAACACCAGUGGCGAAGGCGGCUGUCUGGUCUGUAACUGACGCUGAGGCUCGAAAGCAUGGGUAGCGAACAGGAUUAGAUACCCUGGUAGUCCAUGCCGUA
rnacentral:rRNA from 1 species